rnacentral:rRNA from 1 species
UACGUAGGGUGCGAGCGUUGUCCGGAAUUACUGGGCGUAAAGAGCUCGUAGGUGGUUUGUCGCGUUGUUCGUGAAAACUCACAGCUUAACUGUGGGCGUGCGGGCGAUACGGGCAGACUGGAGUACUGCAGGGGUGACUGGAAUUCCUGGUGUAGCGGUGGAAUGCGCAGAUAUCAGGAGGAACACCGGUGGCGAAGGCGGGUCUCUGGGCAGUAACUGACGCUGAGGAGCGAAAGCGUGGGGAGCGAACAGG